rnacentral:lncRNA from 1 species
AAAACUGCCUAAAAACCACUUUCUGGGCAGUUUUGAGCACCUACACUAAUUUGGACGAAAAUUGAUAAAAACUUGAAUCAAAAUACUUAGAAACACAAAUCAAAACACUUUCUAACUAAUCUAAGACUUCAAAUUAAAGGGGGAUUUGUUUUGGACGAAAAUUUAACACAAAACAGAAACUUAAACUAACACAGAUUGUAAAAACGAUUUUGGUGAAAUAGAUGGUUAAAAGGCUAGUUAGGAGGUUCUUCUCCACACAUGUCACACUUGCACACAAAACGAUUUUCAGUUGUUCUUCCAAUAAAUUAUGAAUACUCAACGCCCCAAAUUAACCGUGAAUUGCACUAAUUAACCCUCAGUUUUUCCACAAGUUAUUAGGUUGGAUGAUUGCAUACGACAACCCAAAACAUUCCCUACAAGUUCCCUACAUGAAUUGCAUAAUAGAGAUACAAGCACGAAUCAUUACGUUCUAUGAAAAACAUAAGCAUUGACAAAGCAUUUGUUACUAUGAAUUGCAUGAAACUUAUGCUAAGAAUUCAUUCAAUGCGAUCGUUUUCAAGCGACCUUCACUACUUGUGAUUAUAAGAUUGUAACUAUUAGGUGAAACUCCCUCAUAAUCUAGCAUCAUAUUCAUGCAUGAAAACUAAGCGUGCACUCUCAAUCAACAUACACAAAUAAGUCAUCAAUCAAAUAGAUGAAUGAAUUGAAUCCACAACUUAUGAAAUAACAACUGAAUGUAAUCAAAUCAUAUUGCAAGCAUAUACAUGGUUUCGAAUUACCCCCCAACUAAGGGGGUUUAGUUCGUCAUACUCACAACACAAAGUUUAUUGAAUUGAAACAUCGAAGACAUAAGAAAGAUUACACCUAAAACGCCCAAGAAUUCCACUUUGAAUUUCUGACUUCAAGCUCCUCUUUCUUCUUCUCCUUGCUGCGGCAGAGAGGGUUUAGGGUGUUUUUGGAUGUGAUUUUGGUUUUAGAAUGGAGUUAGGAUAGUAUGGUGGUGCGGCAAAGGGGUAAGGAUGGUGUAUGGAAGUGUAGAAUGGUGUAUGGAGGUGGAUGGUAGCUUCGGCAAGGAUGGGAAGUGGCUGGAAUGGAUGAAGGCUGCAGCAAGGUGUGGGAAUAGGGUUUAGACGAUUUUCUGAUUUGUAGAAUGGGAGAUGAUGUGCGGCAAGGUGUGUAGAACACAUAUAUAUAGGCACCUAAAAACCCUAAAGAAAUCAGAUUGGGCUAGGGUUAGGUGCGGCUACUUAAGUGGACUAGGGUUAAGGUUUGUAAAAUAGGGCUUCUAGGAUGGAAAGGUGCGGCAUGGGCUUAGGGUACAUAAUCAGAUUUUUGCAUGUGAACAAGGCCUAGGUGCGGCUGAUUAAGUGGCUAGGGUUAGGGUUUAGGUGCGGCAUAGGUCCAAGAAGUAAGGAUGGGUCAUCCAAAAGCCCAAAGCCGAGAAUAGAAACUCACGAAAAUGGAAACCUCCAAGAAUAGAAACUUCCAACUUUAGAAACUUUGGUUGCCAAUUCCGAUUUAGGAAAGAUCAACCCAAAAUGGAAACUUUUAGGCUUAGCUUUCCUACUUCAAGUAGGAAACCUCAAAUCUUCAACUCUUCAAUUCCAUCCCAACCUUGUGUUCCAAGCAUGUCCUUUUCAAACCAAGCUCAUAUUUUGCUCCAAAAGCUCCAACUUGCAUCAUUUCAUGUAAUAUGUCCUUUAAACCUGAAAACACAUGAAAGUAGCUUAAAAGACUACUUUAACGAAGAAAACAUAACAAAGAUGCAUCAGAACUAGCUAACUAAGGCGCAUAAAUAUGCUCCUAUCAAAUUCCCCCACACUUAGCUUUUGCUAGUCCUCGAGCAAAACAAACAAAAGAAAGGAAACAAAACGAAACCAACUUAACCAAAACAAAACCUAAACCUUCCAACGUUUGCCUCAGGGAUUUCCAAUGCACAUGACAUGUUAAAGAUUGUUGUCCCCACAGAUUUGAGUCAUCUUUACACAAGCAUACUUAAUUAAAGCCACCACUUACUAAUUCACAAGUAAUCAAUCAAAACAAUGCUUUGAAUGUAGUAACAUGUCUUAGAGAAUUCCCUCAAUUCCUUACAAGAUAUACACUCUAUUUUCACUCAGAUUUUCUAACUCCACACCCUACACUAGUCAUAUGUGAGAAGAUUGAUGUAGAUAUGAAAACGAAUGCUCACAUAUAUGUAUCACAAAGAACGCAAUUUCUAGAGUUAAGAAGCAUGUUUAGAUAUGAUCUCAUGAAUGGAAUGCUACUACUUAGAUGCGAGAACCAGUGACACCAUAUGCUCAUACCAAAUUCAAACUCCACAAAUUGAAACACAUAACACUCAAGAUAGAAGUUAAGGGUUGUAACGGGGCUUGGGGUAUUGGUUAACAAAGAAAGGAUAGGGAAAACAAACGUUCUUCAAGCAUUAGUAAGCAAAGUAGUGAAAUUGAGGCUUAGAAUUCACUUAGAUUGCAGAAAUUAACUUUAAAACACAAGGGAAAGAUUUAGAUAACUCUUUAGGGCCGAAUUCAUUGCUUUGGACCCUUACUUCAACAAACAAUACUUUGAAACUCUUUUUCACAUCUUUUCAACUCUUUUUUCAUACUUUUCACACUUUUUUCUUCAUUUUUUCUUUUUCCACGAAUUUUUUCUUUUCUUUUCUUUCCACACGUGCCUAUGGCACACAAAAUCACCAAAAGAAAUACUUCCCCCCACACUUGUUUUCUGCCAACAUAAAUCAAAAGGAAUUCAAUUCGAAUCAUGCAUUACUAGGCUUUAAGAACAAGGGUAUGGAUGGUCCUAAACUAGGCUAGGUGAGGUUAAUGUGGGUUAACAAAGAAAAGGCUAAACAAGGCUCAAUGGGGUUAAAACCUACAAAACAUAAUGACAUAGGGGAUUCAUGGCUUUUUGGCUAAGGUGGUGGUCACUACACAACUUCAUCUUGAAUAUGUGUUAUGCAAAUCAAUAACAUGCUUUCAAUGAAAUGGGCAUGAGUUUUAGCAUUUGGAACUUAAUGAUGAAACGCCUUCUAAAUAGUAACCAAGCAAGGAAUAAUGAGAUCAUGCAACGACUUAGAAAACAAAGAAUGCACAGAUUUUAACUCUCCAAAUAAACGUUUAGGCUCAAGUCUCACAAGGUUGUAGCGUUAGUUUGAGUUCCUUCCUUCAAGCAUGUUACAAAAACUGAUUUUUUCUUUUAUGAUUGCAUGUGAAUUCAUAAGUUAUAUCCACAACUAAGCAUAUCAAAGAGUAAAUCAAACUUUCAUCCAUGUUAAUCACUCUCUUUAACAGUCAUGCAAUUAAAAACCAAAUCCUCAUCAUUGUGUUGGAAGGUACCCUAAGACACAAACAAACACACAAAAACAACUCUUUUUGGGUUUUUAAAACAAAUUUUUCAAAUUUUUAUGUGAUUUUCGGAUUUUUGCAUCAAAACACACUAAAACACAUCAAAACUGCUCAAAAACACUUAAAAACAUCAAGGAACAAGUAUCCAAGUUAAGGGUGAUAAAAUCCCACGAAUUUGCAUCUAAAACACUUAGUUACCCCCCCCACACUUCAUUCAAACAUUGUCCUCAAUGUUUCAAGCAUAAAUACACACUAAACAAAAAGAAACACACAAACAGCAACUAAAACAACUAAAUAGGCAGAUUCGAAAUAAAUAACAAAGUGAAGAGUUUAGGAACACAAAUCUGGAAUUGGAGUAAGUCCUUGGUCUUCCUUUGUUGAAUUGCAUGGGUUGCCUCCCAAGUAGCGCUUUCUUUAACGUCGUACAGCCAGACGAAAAACACAAUCAUGCCCCAUUGGAGCCCACGGCAAGGAGUGGGAUCUCCACCACCACCUGCCCCACGGCACUCUCAUACAUUGCAUCUUUGAACGGUAAUGGAUAGUGAUGUUUGUUGAUGGGUGCGUUGUGUUGCCUAAGGUUCAUGUACAUGCGCCCACCAUCAGGGAUUUGCUUGGGUACCUGCACCAUAGAAGGGAACCACCUAUCAACAUUAAUGGGAAUUGGAUUUGGAUUAGGUGGCUUACCUAAGUGAUGUGAUGAAGUGGCAGCAAGGUAAACGUUCUUCCCCAUGGUGCUUUCGGCCACUGUGAGCACUUUGAGGGCAGUGGCCGUAUGGGCCUUGUACUCCACUCCAAUUCCCUCGUCUUGCAUGGUUCUUGAUGCAUCCUUUGUGCUUGGUGCUGAACGGUCCGGGCCUAUCUUUUCAAGUUUAUCAAUGGCACAACAAGAAUGAACAACAUUAGGAGUCUCAAUGGAUUCAGAAAUUUUAAAACUAAUCAUGUCACCACCAAAUGCCAUAGUUACUAAUCCUUUCGCCACAUCAAUCUUCGUUUGAGCCGUUUUCAUAAAUGGCCUUCCAAGGAGGAUGGGCAACGAAGGGGCAUGGUCCGAUUCAUCCAUUUCGAGGGACAUAGAAAUCCGCUGGGAAGACUAAACGAUCAACCUGCACUAAGACGUCUUCCAAAACUCCCUUUGGAUAAGCGUUAGAUCUAUCGGCCAAUUGUAUGAUUACACCAUCAUGUUUAAGUGCUCCUAGAUUCAUAGAUGCAUAAACAGAAUAUGGCAUAACAUUAAUAGAUGCUCCUAAAUCUAGCAUGGCAAAUUUGAAACGGGUAUUACCAAUGACACACGGAAUUGUAAAACUCCCCGGAUCUUUGCAUUUGGGGGGUAGUUUGCGUUGCAAGAUGGCGGAGACAUUCUCGCUUACAUGUACCACUUCUUUAUCCCGGACACGUUUCUUGGUUGUACAAAGCUUCUUUAAACACUUCGCAUACUUCGGGAUUUGCUUUAUGGCAUCAAGGAGGGGAAUGUUGACAUGCACCUUUCUAAAUGUCUCUAGAACAUCUAUUUCCUCCUCGUCGUUCUUUGAUUGCAAAAAUCUGCUAGGAAAGGGGACAUUCAAAGGAAAAACAUUAGUAGGAACCGAAUUUGACACAUUCUUACCUUUAUUGGCCGAUUUGGACAAUUUGGGGACAUUAGAAGCUUGUGGCAAAGAUGGAACCUCCUUUGCCGUGGGCAUGCUUGAUUCCUCCUCUUCAAUUUGCACAUUUACAUCACUUUGGGGACCUGUUUGUGUAGAACCUGCCCUAAUCUCUUUUCCACUCCUUAGCAUGAUUGCAUUUGCGCUUUCGAAACCUCCCUUCGGAUUUGGAAUGGUGGAACUAGGGAGUUGUCCGGGAUCUCGAAACUUACCUACAAACUCAGCAAUCUGCCCAAUUUGUUUCUCAAGUUGAUCCACCCUUUUGUCUUGGUUUUGCAUAGCUCUAGCUUGAUCUUCCUGCCCAUUAGACAACUUAGUUAGUAUCUUAAGAAGUGCAUCAUUGUCAAGAGACGUACCUGAGGCACUUGGGCCGGAUUGGGCUUGAUUUUGGGGUGGGCCGUAGGUUUUGGGAAAGAACCCCAGGGGUUGUUGCCUAAAGCCUCCUUGAUUUUGAGGUUGUUGGGGAUCCCUCCACUUGAAAUUUGGGUGGUCUCGCCACCCCGAAUUAUACGUGUUGGAGUAUGGAUCGUGUCUUGACUGAUUUUGGCUUUGAAACCCAAUGGCAUUCGCACUCUCCCAUCCGCCAUUCUCGAUGAGUUGAGGACAUUUUUCGGAGACAUGUCCUUGGAUAGAACAUACGCCACAUACCACAGGUCCUUGCAUCUUCAUUCCCUCGGCCAUCUGUGAAACAAUAGAAGUAAGAUUAGCCAAUUGUGAAUGAAGAUCGGAAGUCGCACUUACCUCAUGUACUUUGGUGCCGUGAGGGUCCUCUUUGGCCUACACCCUCGUACUGUUGAGCGUUCAACGCUCUAUUAGCAAUCAAGACCUUGGCAGCCAUGGGUGUUUUGUCCACCAAUGCUCCCCCCGCCGAAGCAUCAAGCAUUUGACGUUCUAGAGGUAGGAGGCCCUCGUAGAAAUAUUGCAAGAGCAAUUCCUCCUUCAUCUGAUGCUGUGGACAAGAAGCAACAAGUGAUUUAAAUCGUUCAUAAUAUGUAGGAAAAGACUCACCUUCUUCUUGCUGAAUUCCGCUUAUCUUUUUGCGUAGGAGGAUGAUGCGAGAAGUUGGAAAGAACUUCUCCAAGAACGCUCUCUUCAUACUCUCCCAAGAAGUGACAGUGCCGGGAGCUAACUCGUAUAACCAAUCCUUGGCUUUAUCCAUCAAAGAGAAUGGAAAAGCCUUCAUCUUCAAGAUACAUCCGUCAACAUUGACGGGAGUCAUACUAGAGCAAACCACUUCAAAUUCUUUCAAAUGUUUGUUAGGAUCUUCCAUGGACAAGCCAUGGUAUUUAGGAAUAUGAUGAAGCAAACUUGACUUUAAUUCAAACUCGUCCGUCUUACCUUGGGCAGCCACGGGGUAUUGGAUGCACAAGGGUGCGGCAUUAUCCAAACCCGAGGCGGAAAGCUCCUUGAGUGUACGAUUGUCCAUGGCCAUGCCUUGGACUUCUUCAAAUAUCCCUGCCGUGGCUUCCUCCUCCACUUCUUGUACGUUUUCUUCAAGGUCAGAUUCGGAAUUGGGUGAAUGGUAUUCUUGCUGGUUUCUAGCUCUUCUUAACUUCCUCUCAAAAUCGUCGUCAAAAUCCAAGAUGUUUGCACGAAUCGGUUGAGAGCUUCUAGUCAUACAUUAGUACCUAAGAAACAAGAAACAAAAUUAGGUCAGAAACUUAAACAAAGUCAGAAACAAAGUGAAAUAAAAGAAACAAAAACAAUCCAAGGGAUUUGCAAAAUUGCUAAUCCCCGGCAACGGCGCCAAAAAUUUGAUGCGAAAUAGAUAAGCACACAAAUUAAACCCUCUUUUGUCAAAUUGUAGUAGAGAUGUAAGUAGGGAUCGUUCUAGACCGGGGAUUAGGAGGGAUUGCUAAACACUUGGAAACUGACUUAAAAACUCAAAAACAAAGUUUAGAACACUAAACUAGACUCAAAGAAUGCAAAAGUAAAGGUUAAAACACUUAAACAAACCUAAAACUCAAAACAGCAACUAGAAGGCUCAAAACUGCCUAAAAACCACUUUCUGGGCAGUUUUGAGCACCUACACUAAUUUGGACGAAAAUUGAUGAAAACUUGAAUCAAAAUACUUAGAAACACAAAUCAAAACACUUUCUAACUAAUCUAAGACUUCAAAUUAAAGGGGGAUUUGUUUUGGACGAAAAUUUAACACAAAACAGAAACUUUAACUAACACAGAUUGUAAAAACGAUUUUGGUGAAAUAGAUGGUUAAAAGGCUAGUUAGGAGGUUCUUCUCCACACAUGUCACACUUGCACACAAAACGAUUUUCAGUUGUUCUUC